rnacentral:snRNA from 1 species
GUGCUCGCUUCGGGAGCACAUAUACUAAAUUGGAAUGAUACAGUGAAGAUGAGCAUGGCCUGUGCACAAGUGUGACAUGCAAAUUCGUGAAGUGUUCCAUAUUUAA